rnacentral:rRNA from 1 species
AACGAACGCUGGCGGCAGGCUUAACACAUGCAAGUCGAACGCAUCCUUCGGGGUGAGUGGCAGACGGGUGAGUAACACGUGGGGACGGGCCCUCCGGUCUGGGAUAACCCUGGGAAACUAGGGCUAAUACCGGAUACGUGCUCAGGCAGAAAGGUUUACUGCCGGAGGAUCGGCCCGCGUCUGAUUAGCUGGUUGGUGGGGUAACGGCCUACCAAGGCGACGAUCAGUAGCUGGUCUGAGAGGAUGAUCAGCCACACUGGGACUGAGACACGGCCCAGACUCCUACGGGAGGCAGCAGUGGGGAAUAUUGGACAAUGGGCGCAAGCUUGAUCCAGCCAUGCCGCGUGAGUGAUGACGGCCUUAGGGUUGUAAAGCUCUUUUCUCCGGGACGAUAAUGACGGUACCGGAGGAAUAAGCCCCGGCUAACUUCGUGCCAGCCGCCGCCGUAACAC